AGACCCUGACAAGCCUCUGUCCAAAGCUCUGCGCAGCUGGCAGCCAGCCUGCUUGUGAUUUUCCAGUGACACGUGUUCAGCAACGGCUGCCGUUAGCUUUGGCAGAUGCAAGGAAAACAUUUUGUAACCCUGGAAAAUCCCCAGUACUCACACUCCAUCUGACUGCUAAGAGCAUCCUUCUCCAAUGGCAUCUUUAGGCUGAGAAGCAUCAAAUAGAGUGAGCAAUUGUCUCUAGCCUUAGAAGGAAUAAGGGCAGGGACAGAAGAAGGAAAAAGAAAUUCUCUUCAAGAAUUUCAUGGUAUUAUUUCUCUUUAAAAGUACUAAAACCCCAGUUAGUCCUCAGAACCAUUCAGCUUUCAAGCCGUGCUGUUGACUUAAAAAUCAGAUACAUCUGAUUCCAUUUGUCUUCUGAUUUUUUACCUUUAGGAGGUGGCAUUUGCCAGCUUUUCUUUGCAGUCUCGAUGGCUGGAAACUUUCAUUGUAGCGGAAGCUGAGAUGCUCAUAUAAUCAUAUGACUGCAGAAGUUGGGGACUAAGGAUCACAUUGCAUGCCAUGGGACUAGCAAUCAGCCUGUUGGCUGCACUGCAGCAUUUCCCUGGAGAGCUCGUCCCGCUGCGAUUAAUGUCCCGAAGAUAAUGUACAAGGUGGCAGAUGAGCUGGAGGAGUGAUCUAAAGGUCACAUCCAGCCCUGUGCGAUGAGCCAGCACAGGCCAAUGGAUCACAUACCUUUCAAGUAGGACCUCUACACAUAGGCUGGGCUGACAUUCACAUUGACCUCAAGGCUGGAUAGAAUUUCAUUCAAAGUGCAUUCAGAAGACCCGACAUCUCUGCUGGUGAUGCUGAAAUGAGUGGAAGUCGAAUCUCAGAACUAGAAAAGGAAAUCGUACCUCAUACAGAAAGUAACUUUUGGAUGAAGGAGGAAAGGGCACAUGCUACAAGAAGGGCCCUCAGUUAAUCCAGGGCACCAGAAGACUGCCAUGACUGCGUGCUUCUGGGGAAGGCAUUUGGAGCAACCAUAAAGAGGGCAUUUGGGACACGUUUUGCCUUUCCCAUGGCAGAGAAUGGGGUGAAGUGUCCUGGUGCAGGGUGGGGUGAUAAGCACAGCUGUGGUUUUGCACAAAAAUAAAAUGUGGAGCGGUGGAACAAGCUCAGACAGGAAAUCACUUAUUUCCUUGUGCUGCUGCUAUGACAGCAGUGUUGAUGUUGGAUCUUCCCUAGGUGAAAAAUAAAAAGCAAGUUCAACCAAAAUAGGGCCCGAUUCCUGUAAGGAUGAGCCACUGCCUCCUCUGCAAGGUGGUUUUCUGCAGCCCUUGGGCUCAGAGCAUCAACCAUGCAAACUGUCAGAGGUGGAUGGUAGCACAUUUAUCAUCCUUUAUCUACAAGAUGCACAGCUCUGAGUAGGAAAAAACUGUGAUUUAAUUGUUUGGUUGAACACAGUAAGGAACAAGGAGGGAUUUUCCAAUAAUAUCUGAGGUGGUUUCAUUCCUGUUGCCCUUGAGAUGCAGAUUUAUUGUCUGGUCACUCGAUGGCAGCUGCUUGCACUCUUAACUCCUCUGGUGCCUUGGGAAAGAGGGUAACAGUUUUUA